GAUGAAGAACGUAGUGAAAUGCGAUAAGUAAUGCGAAUUGCAGAAUUCAGUGAGUCAUCGAAUCUUUGAACGCACAUUGCGCCCUGUGGUAUUCCGCAGGGCAUGUCUGUUCGAGCGUCAUUUCAACCCUCAAGCCCCGCUUGGUGUUGGGCCCCGCCCGCUGUGGCCGGCCCUAAAGACAGUGGCGGCGCCGCCUGGCCCUCAGCGUAGUACAUCUCUCGCUCCAGGGUCCGGUGGCCGCCUGCCAGAACCCCCCAACUCUGUGGUUGACCUCGGAUCAGGUAGGGAUACCCGCUGAACUUAAGCAUAUCAAUAAGCGGAGGA
rnacentral:misc_RNA from 1 species